GAUGAACGCUGGCGGCGUGCCUAAUACAUGCAAGUCGAGCGAACAGAUGAGGAGCUUGCUCCUCUGACGUUAGCGGCGGACGGGUGAGUAACACGUGGAUAACCUACCUAUAAGAUUGGGAUAACUUCGGGAAACCGGAGCUAAUACCGGAUAAUAUAUUGAACCGCAUGGUUCAAUAGUGAAAGACGGUUUUGCUGUCACUUAUAGAUGGAUCCGCGCCGCAUUAGCUAGUUGGUAAGGUAACGGCUUACCAAGGCAACGAUGCGUAGCCGACCUGAGAGGGUGAUCGGCCACACUGGAACUGAGACACGGUCCAGACUCCUACGGGAGGCAGCAGUAGGGAAUCUUCCGCAAUGGGCGAAAGCCUGACGGAGCAACGCCGCGUGAGUGAUGAAGGUCUUCGGAUCGUAAAACUCUGUUAUUGGGGAAGAACAAAUGUGUAAGUAACUAUGCACGUCUUGACGGUACCUAAUCAGAAAGCCACGGCUAACUACGUG
rnacentral:rRNA from 1 species